rnacentral:rRNA from 1 species
UAGUGAAACUGCGAAUGGCUCAUUAAAUCAGUUAUCGUUUAUUUGAUAGUACCUUACUACUUGGAUAACCGUGGUAAUUCUAGAGCUAAUACAUGCUAAAAACCCCGACUUCGGGAGGGGUGUAUUUAUUAGAUAAAAAACCAAUGCCCUUCGGGGCUCCUUGGUGAAUCAUGAUAACUUAACGAAUCGCAUGGCCUUGCGCCGGCGAUGGUUCAUUCAAAUUUCUGCCCUAUCAACUUUCGAUGGUAGGAUAGUGGCCUACCAUGGUAUCAACGGGUAACGGGGAAUUAGGGUUCUAUUCCGGAGAGGGAGCCUGAGAAACGGCUACCACAUCCAAGGAAGGCAGCAGGCGCGCAAAUUACCCAAUCCCGACACGGGGAGGUAGUGACAAUAAAUACUGAUACAGGGCUCUUUUGGGUCUUGUAAUUGGAAUGAGUACAAUUUAAAUACCUUAACGAGGAACAAUUGGAGGGCAAGUCUGGUGCCAGCAGCCGCGGUAAUUCCAGCUCCAAUAGCGUAUAUUAAAGUUGUUGCAGUUAAAAAGCUCGUAGUUGAACCUUGGGCCUGGCUGGCCGGUCUGCCUCACCGCAUGUACUGGUUCGGCCGGGCCUUUCCUCCUGGGGAUCCGCAUGCCCUUCACUGGGUGUGUUGGGGAACCAGGACUUUUACUUUGAAAAAAUUAGAGUGUUCAAAGCAGGCCUUUGCUCGAAUACAUUAGCAUGGAAUAAUAGAAUAGGACGUGCGGUCCUAUUUUGUUGGUUUCUAGGACCGCCGUAAUGAUUAAUAGGGAUAGUCGGGGGCAUCAGUAUUCAGUUGUCAGAGGUGAAAUUCUUGGAUUUACUGAAGACUAACUACUGCGAAAGCAUUUGCCAAGGAUGUUUUCAUUAAUCAGUGAACGAAAGUUAGGGGAUCGAAGACGAUCAGAUACCGUCGUAGUCUUAACCGUAAACUAUGCCGACUAGGGAUCGGGCGAUGUUAUUCUUUUGACUCGCUCGGCACCUUACGAG